rnacentral:rRNA from 1 species
AGAGUUUGAUCCUGGCUCAGAACGAACGCUGGCGGCGUGGAUAAGACAUGCAAGUCGCACGGAGAAAAGAUAGUUUACUAGCUUUUCUGGGUGGCGCACGGGUGAGUAACACGUGAGCAACCUGCCUCUUAGUGGGGGAUAGCCCUGGGAAACCGGGAUUAAUACCGCAUAUCAUCGCAAGAUGAAAGCAGCAAUGCGCUAAGAGAGGGGCUCGCGGCCUAUUAGUUAGUUGGUGAGGUAACGGCUCACCAAGGCGAUGACGGGUAGCCGGUCUGAGAGGAUGUCCGGCCACACUGGAACUGAGACACGGUCCAGACACCUACGGGUGGCAGCAGUCGAGAAUCAUUCACAAUGGGGGAAACCCUGAUGGUGCGACGCCGCGUGGGGGAAGAAGGUCUUCGGAUUGUAAACCCCUGUCAUGUGGGAGCAAGCUAGCAAUAGUUGAUAGUACCACAAGAGGAAGAGACGGCUAACUCUGUGCCAGCAGCCGCGGUAAUACAGAGGUCUCAAGCGUUGUUCGGAAUCACUGGGCGUAAAGGGUACGUAGGCUGUACCAUAAGUCGGGCGUG